CUUUAGAGCUCAUGAUAUAUGCUUCUAAUCAUGUUACUAAAAUAAUAAGUUUAUAUUUUACUUAACUAUAAUCUCGCUGUUGAUAGGCUUUAAGACAGCCUUAAGAUUUCACUGUUAGAAAUUCUGCAGAAAAUCUGGUGUGAUCUUUCAGUCAUGAAUUUGGAAUACCAUGCUGACUUAUUUACUUAUCCAAGAUUGUGUAAAUUUAUGGGCAACCUGUUACCAUUUUGAAUUCUGAGAUGGUUGAAUCAAUUUGUAUGUGGUCAUAGGAAUAUGAGGGCAUUGGUUUCAUCUGUGUCAUCACCAGCACUGACUGUUGGAAAUGAAAAUAAGUUUCUGAAUGUUAUGACAAAUAUGGAUAAGAGAGAUCUUCAGUUCUGCAGAACUCAUCUUCUCUGGAAGUAGCCUGGAUUUGAGAGCUGGAUGGAAGGCAGGCAUUGUAGUGAUCAUGGUGAAAAUGUGGCUGCAACUGACACAAGUUGGUCUAAACUGGGACUCCCAAAUAGAGGCCCAGAUGACCUGAUAAAGAGAAUAAAUAUAGAUAUGCAUACAGUAGUCAGAAUAACUCCAGUGGAAAUUACCCUAAAGUUCCAAAGUCUCUAA
rnacentral:lncRNA from 1 species